GUAGGGAAUAUUGGGCAAUGGAUGCAAGUCUGACCCAGCCAUCCCGCGUGCCGGAAGAAGGCCCUCAGGGUUGUAAACGGCUUUUGACGGUGAAGAAUCGACAGGAUGCGUCCUGUUUUGACGGUAGCCGUUGAAUAAGCACCGGCUAACUCCGUGCCAGCAGCCGCGGUAAUACGGAGGGUGCGAGCGUUGUCCGUAUUUAUUGGGUUUAAAGGGUGCGUAGGCUGGAAGGUAAGUCAGCGGUGAAAAGCUAUCGCUUAACGAUAGUCUUGCCGCAGAUACUUCCUUUCUUGGAUGAGGAGGAGGCCACUGGAACGGAUGGUGUAGCGGUGAAAUGCAUAGAUAUCAUCCAGAACACCGAUUGCGAAGGCAGGUGGCUGUACCUUAAUCGACGCUGAUGCACGAAAGCAUGGGGAGCAAACAGGAUUAGAAACCCUUGUAGUCC
rnacentral:rRNA from 1 species